rnacentral:rRNA from 1 species
UACAGAGGUCCCAAGCGUUGUUCGGAUUCACUGGGCGUAAAGGGUGCGUAGGUGGUGAGGUAAGUCGGAUGUGAAAGCUCAGAGCUCAACUCCGAAAUGGCAUUGGAAACUACCUUGCUCGAGGGUUGGAGGGGGGACUGGAAUACUUGGUGUAGCAGUGAAAUGCGUAGAUAUCAAGUGGAACACCAGUGGCGAAGGCGAGUCCCUGGACAACUCCUGACACUGAGGCACGAAAGCUAGGGGAGCAAACAGG